rnacentral:rRNA from 1 species
AUGUGUAGCGGUGGAAUGCGUAGAUAUAUGGAAGAACACCAGUGGCGAAGGCGGCUUACUGGACUGUAACUGACGUUGAGGCUCGAAAGUGUGGGUAGCAAACAGGAUUAGAUACCCUGGUAGUCCACACCGUAAACGAUGAACACUAGGUGUUAGGAGGUUUCCGCCUCUUAGUGCCGAAGCUAACGCAUUAAGUGUUCCGCCUGGGGAGUACGACCGCAAGGUUGAAACUCAAAGGAAUUGACGGGGACCCGCACAAGCGGUGGAGCAUGUGGUUUAAUUCGAAGCAACGCGAAGAACCUUACCAGGUCUUGACAUCCUUUGAAGCUUUUAGAGAUAGAAGUGUUCUCUUCGGAGACAAAGUGACAGGUGGUGCAUGGUCGUCGUCAGCUCGUGUCGUGAGAUGUUGGGUUAAGUCCCGCAACGAGCGCAACCCUUAUUGUUAGUUGCCAGCAUUCAGAUGGGCACUCUAGCGAGACUGCCGGUGACAAACCGGAGGAAGGCGGGGACGACGUCAGAUCAUCAUGCCCCUUAUGACCUGGGCUACACACGUGCUACAAUGGCGUAUACAACGAGUUGCCAACCCGCGAGGGUGAGCUAAUCUCUUAAAGUACGUCUCAGUUCGGAUUGUAGUCUGCAACUCGACUACAUGAAGUCGGAAUCGCUAGUAAUCGCGGAUCAGCACGCCGCGGUGAAUACGUUCCCGGGUCUUGUACACACCGCCCGUCACACCAUGGGAGUUUGUAAUGCCCAAAGCCGGUGGCCUAACCUUUUAGGAAGGAGCCGUCUAAGGCAGGGCAGAUGACUGGGGUGAAGUCGUAACAAGGUAGCCGUAGGAGAACCUGCGGCUGGAUC